CGAAAGCCUGACGGAGCAAUACCGCGUGAGGGAGGAAGGCUCUUGGGUUGUAAACCUCUUUUCUCAGGGAAUAAAAAAAUGAAGGUACCUGAGGAAUAAGCAUCGGCUAACUCCGUGCCAGCAGCCGCGGUAAUACGGAGGAUGCAAGCGUUAUCCGGAAUGAUUGGGCGUAAAGCGUCGGCAGGUGGCUAUGUAAGUCUGCUGUUAAAGAGCAAGGCUCAACCUUGUAAAGGCAGUGGAAACUACAUAGCUAGAGUGCGUUCGGGGCAGAGGGAAUUCCUGGUGUAGCGGUGAAAUGCGUAGAUAUCAGGAAGAACACCGGUGGCGAAAGCGCUCUGCUAGGCCGCAAAUGACACUGAGGGACGAAAGCUAGGGGAGCG
rnacentral:rRNA from 1 species